AUGGCCGCCGCCGACCUCCAUUGUCUCCCCCAACCCUGGCCUCCACUCCACUGUCCUUGGCCCCUCCCCGUCUUGCCGUGGACGCAGAUCCGCUGGAGCUGCUCAGCCCGCGGUCAGACCCGCCCUCCCUCGACCCCUGCCCGCGCCGGAAACCCUAGCCGCCGGUCAUGGCGACCGACCGAAGGGCGCAGGCACAGGGCUCGGCUCGACGGCAGUGCUUGAAACUGUGAGGAUGACAAGGACAAGACCUCCAAGCUUUGUUUUGUUCUUCUUCUUCAUGUGCCAUUUGCAGCAUCAAGGGGAUUUUUCGACCGCUACCAGCAGGCCACCGGGACCAUCCUGUGGACCGAGCAGUAUGAGUUCUGCUACUAGUUGUUGUGUACUCCUAGUGCUAUAGUUGUUGUGUAGUAAUACAGAAAUAUUAAUGCUCAAACCUGAUGAUGUGGCCUGCAGCGCACUUGCUUCGACGUCGACCCACCCGUCGUCAUCGCCUUCGAGGCCAACGAGGACACGGCAGGCGCCGUCGGCCUCAGCGACGGCUUCCACCACUACCACAUCAUCGUCACCUACGAGUUCCACGACGGCGUCUGGGCCGUCGAGUCCUUCUGCAGCUGCUGCAGCUGUUCCUUCCACAGUUUGGGUGGGACUCAUCGGAUCGGCCUCCUUGUUUCCUAUUUCAGGGACAGUCGGAUUAUUCCUGGAGCUGCCGCAACAGAAGUAGAACUGGCAAAGAGAUUGAAGGAGUUUUCUCUGAAGGAAAUAGGGACUCAAGACAUAUUUGAUAUGUGA
rnacentral:rRNA from 1 species